CCGGAGGGUCCGGGGGGCCCGCGGACUCCGGCGUAUCCUGGACGUCCGGGGGGACCGCGAGGUCCGCCGGAGCCCGGAGGACCGGUGGAUCCUGUCCUGCUUUCUCCUGGUGGACCUGGAGGGGACAGAGUUGGAGAGAUGGACGGUGUCGUACCUCUCUCUCCCUGCUGGCCUUGUGAACCUGGAGUUCCGGGGAAACCGUUCCUUCCCGCGGCGCCGGGCUCUCCGCGGGGUCCCUGCCUGCCGCUGGUUCCGGGCGGCCCAGCAGGGCCCGGGCUGUUGCUGCGCUGCAUGCCGUUGGGGAUCUGGUUCAGUAACGUGUUGACGCGAGUCAUUUGUGCUGCAACAUAAGAGGAGGAACCAGAGAGAACACUUCUCGUGUGUUGAACUCCGAUGUGAGCUCCGUUUCUCUGUGAUGAAUUAUCUGACGUUUGGAUUUAAUAAAGAUUAUUUUCUCAAAAUGUGAUGUCUUUGUUUUUUCUUGCUCUUUCAAGUCGUCAGGAACAUUUAGUCCACUAAAGAACACGGAGUCCUAACUUAACGAGGAGUCCCUCAAUCAUAUUUACUUAAAUUAAAUCAAGACAAUCUUCCAAAUCUUGUUUUAAAAUAUUAAAAUGUAUUUCUAUAAUAUUCCUUAAACAUGGGAAACUGAGAUGUCGUUGCUUCACUGCUGUUUUGUGAGAACAGUUGAGGCUUUGAAGAUAUUUAAAUGACUUGUUAGGAAGUUCAAUCUUUAGAUAAUUAACUCACUUUGGACUAAAACGAGAAGUUCUUAUAAACUCAGAUCU